AGUGAACGCUGGCGGUAGGCCUAACACAUGCAAGUCGAACGGCAGCACAGUAAGAGCUUGCUCUUACGGGUGGCGAGUGGCGGACGGGUGAGGAAUACAUCGGAAUCUACUUUUUCGUGGGGGAUAACGUAGGGAAACUUACGCUAAUACCGCAUACGACCUACGGGUGAAAGCAGGGGAUCUUCGGACCUUGCGCGAUUGAAUGAGCCGAUGUCGGAUUAGCUAGUUGGCGGGGUAAAGGCCCACCAAGGCGACGAUCCGUAGCUGGUCUGAGAGGAUGAUCAGCCACACUGGGACUGAGACACGGUCCAGACACCUACGGGAGGCAGCAGUGGGAAUAUUGGACAAUGGGCGCAAGCCUGAUCCAGCCAUACCGCGUGGGUGAAGAAGGCCUUCGGGUUGUAAAGCCCUUUUGUUGGGAAAGAAAAGCAGCAGGUUAAUACCCCGCUGUUCUGACGGUACCCAAAGAAUAAGCACCGGCUAACUUCGUG
rnacentral:rRNA from 1 species